UACGGGGGGGCAAGCGUUGUUCGGAAUUACUGGGCGUAAAGGGCGUGUAGGUGGCCAACUAAGUCCGACGUGAAAUCCCCAGGCUUAACCUGGGAACUGCGUCGGAUACUGGAUGGCUUGAGUUCGGGAGAGGGAUGCGGAAUUCCAGGUGUAGCGGUGAAAUGCGUAGAUAUCUGGAGGAACACCGGUGGCGAAGGCGGCAUCCUGGACCGACACUGACGCUGAGGUACGAAAGCGUGGGGAGCAAACAGG
rnacentral:rRNA from 1 species